AUGCUUUGUCUGCAAGGCCUCUCUUGGUAUGGUGAACCAGUCUUAAUUUGUCUUAUUCAGAUUAGAUUUGUGUGUCGCCCUCUUGACAGAGCAAACCUGGUCAAGUUUUCCAAUCAUCACCUCAUGUUCUACCUUGCAAUGUUUUGUAUCUGUUUGAUCAAUGUGCAAUUUCUAGGCACCGUAAGGCAUCUUGGAAUGGACAGGGUUGUGCAUGACUACAUGAUACUAGCUCCGUUUGUUGUUCUCUCCAAUAUAAGUCUAAGUCUGUUGCAUCUGUCCACAGUUUCAACUUUUUUUACUAAGCAUUAG
rnacentral:rRNA from 1 species